rnacentral:tRNA from 1 species
GCGAGAGUGGCGGAAUUGGUAGACGCGCUGGACUUAGGAUCCAGUGGAUCCUUCCGUGGGGGUUCAAAUCCCCCCUCUCGCACCA